rnacentral:lncRNA from 1 species
AAGUACUCAAGUAGGACCCAGCUCCCAGUCCUGCUGGCCAAUAACCCAGCGCCACGUGGAAUUAACAGCUCAUCCAACUUCACAGGAUUUGUUUUCUCAUCUUAUUCUCGAAUCAUUUUUUAUGAACAUUAUCUCGAUCCCAUCUCACGUCCUGCCCUCCCACCGCCACAAGUGGUCCAGACGGGGCUCAUCACGCAUCGGACGGCCUGUAGUUGUACACGUGGAGACUGGCAUGUGGGGACACGGCGUCCAGGAAGAUCCUGGCCGUCGCCUCCUGCGCCACCGCCGCCCGCUCCUUCUCCACGAGCGCCGCCGCCACAACAUCCCCGGCGGGGCCUCCUCCGGCUGCCACCAUCGCAAUGAUGGCCGCCUGGACGGGGCCCAGCGUCGGGUUGUAGGCCGCGGACUCCAGGCAGCCCCCGGCGUAGAUCCUGCCGUCGCCGUCCGCCACCGCGAACCCCGACGGGCACUCGCUGUACGGCGCGUGCGCCGCCCGCGCGGCCGCCUCCGCGGCCUCCCUCAGGCGCGCCUCCAGGUCGCCGGCGGCGAAGCCAUUGGCGACCGCGGGGACGGGGUCGCCCAGGGGGUUGCCGUGCUUCUCGAGGACGAGGGGCACAUCUUCUGGGAGGAGGUCGUGGGGCCCGAAGGGGCGGAGGAGGAGGGACGCGACCGUGCGCCACUCAGGCGCGCAGCCUUC